rnacentral:rRNA from 1 species
AUUGAACGCUGGCGGCAGGCCUAACACAUGCAAGUCGAGCGGAGCGGCGGACGGGUGAGUAAUGCCUAGGAAUCUGACUGGUAGUGGGGGAUAACGUCCGGAAACGGGCGCUAAUACCGCAUACUAUAAGAUGAGCAUAGGUCGGAUUAGCUAGUUUGUGGGGUAAAGGCCUACCAAGGCGCAGAUCCGUAACUGUUCUGAGAGGAUGAUCAGUCACACGGGAACGGAGACACGUUCCAGACUCCUACGUGAGGCAGCAGUGGGGAAUAUUGUACAAGGUGCGAAAGCCUGAUCCAGCCAUGCCGCGUGUGUGAAGAAGGUCUUCGGAUUGUAAAGCACUUUAAGUUUGGAGGCGUUACCAACAGAAUAAGCACCGGCUAACUUCGUGCCAGCAGCCGCGGUAAUUC